UUACCGUGAAAAAAUUAGAGUGUUCAAAGCAGGCAGAUCCAAUUUUCUGCCACCGAAUACAUUAGCAUGGGAUAAUGGAAUAGGACCCUGUCCUCCUAUUUUCAGUUGGUUUUGGCAGCGCGAGGACUAGGGUAAUGAUUAAUAGGGAUAGUUGGGGGCAUUAAUAUUUAAUUGUCAGAGGUGAAAUUCUUGGAUUUAUGAAAGAUUAACUUCUGCGAAAGCAUCUGCCAAGGAUGUUUUCAUUAAUCAAGAACGAAAGUUAGGGGAUCGAAGACGAUCAGAUACCGUCGUAGUCUUAACCAUAAACGAUGCCGACCAGCGAUUAGGAGACGUUGAAUACAAAACACCACCAUCGGUUGCGGUCGUCCUUGGCGUCUCGGUUUCGGCCGGGGCGCGGGGACGGUUUAGCCCGGUGGCACCGGUGAAUGACUCCUA
rnacentral:rRNA from 1 species